rnacentral:misc_RNA from 1 species
CUUUUUAGAAAAAAACGUCAUUUUAGAUGUUUGUUAAAUCAAUUUUUGAUACAUUUUAAUUAAUAUAUUUAUAUAUAUUUUUUAAUGAAUUGCUUUUCACAACACUAGACGCCAUCCUUGUAAUAUUCAUCGUGCACAUGGACAACUCAGCAGUUAUAUGGGAAGAACUUUCUCUUGUGCUUCAUGGUAGACGGAUGUUUCAAAGGUUCAUCUCUAGAUGAUCGAUUAGUUUUAAG